CCUACGGGAGACAGCAGUGGGGAAUAUUGGGCAAUGGAGGAAACUCUGACCCAGCGACGCCGCGUGCGGGAUGAAGGCCUUCGGGUUGUAAACCGCUUUCAGCAGGGAAGAAGCGAAAGUGACGGUACCUGCAGAAGAAGCACCGGCUAACUAUGUGCUAGCAGCCGCGGUAAUACAUAGGGUGCAAGCGUUGUCCGGAAUUAUUGGGCGUAAAGAGCUCGUAGGUGGUUCGUCACGUCGGAUGUGAAAAUCUGGGGCUUAACCCCAGACCUGCAUUCGAUACGGGCGAGCUUGAGUAUGGUAGGGGAGUCUGGAAUUCCUGGUGUAGCGGUGGAAUGCGCAGAUAUCAGGAGGAACACCAAUGGCGAAGGCAGGACUCUGGGCCAUUACUGACACUGAGGAGCGAAAGCGUGGGGAGCGAACAGGAUUAGAUACCCUGGUAGUCCACGCCGUAAACGGUGGGCACUAGUUGUGGGGACCUUCCACGGUCUCUGCGACGCAGCUAACGCAUUAAGUGCCCCGCCUGGGGAGUACGAUCGCAAGAUUAAACGUCAAAUUGAAUUGACGG
rnacentral:rRNA from 1 species